AGAGUUUGAUCAUGGCUCAGGAUGAACGCUGGCGAGAUGCCUUACACAUGCAAGUCAUACGAGAAUUUUUAAUUCAAGUGGCGGACGGGUGAGUAACACGUAAGAAUUUGCCUUUAGGAGGGGGACAACAACUGGAAACGGUUGCUAAUACCCCAUAUGCUUUCGAGUGAAACGGAAUUUUCCGCCUAAAGAGAAGCUUGCGGCUGAUUAGCUUGUUGGUGAGGUAAUGGCUUACCAAGGCGACGAUCAGUAUCUGGUUUGAGAGGAUGAUCAGACACACUGGAACUGAGACACGGUCCAGACUCCUACGGGAGGCAGCAGUGGGGAAUUUUCCGCAAUGGGCGAAAGCCUGACGGAGCAAUCUCGCGUGAGGGAUGACGGCCUAUGGGUUGUAAACCUCUUUUUUCAGGGAGGAAUAAAUGACGUGUACCUGAAGAAUAAGCAUCGGCUAACUCCGUGCCAGCAGCCGCGGUAAGACGGAGGAUGCAAGUGUUAUCCGGAAUCACUGGGCGUAAAGCGUCUGUAGGUGGUUUGAUAAGUCAACUGUUAAAUCUUGAAGCUCAACUUCAAAAUCGCAGUCGAAACUAUCAGACUAGAGUAUAGUAGGGGUAAAGGGAAUUUC
rnacentral:rRNA from 1 species